rnacentral:rRNA from 1 species
UACGGAGGAUCCAAGCGUUAUCCGGAAUCAUUGGGUUUAAAGGGUCCGUAGGCGGUUUGGUAAGUCAGUGGUGAAAGCCUAUCGCUCAACGGUGGAACGGCCAUUGAUACUGCCAGACUUGAAUUAUUAGGAAGUAACUAGAAUAUGUAGUGUAGCGGUGAAAUGCUUAGAGAUUACAUGGAAUACCAAUUGCGAAGGCAGGUUACUACUAAUGGAUUGACGCUGAUGGACGAAAGCGUGGGUAGCGGAACAGG